UACGUAGGGUGCGAGCGUUGUCCGGAAUUAUUGGGCGUAAAGAGCUCGUAGGCGGUCUGUCGCGUCGAUCGUGAAAACUUGGGGCUUAACCCUGAGCUUGCGGUCGAUACGGGCAUGACUGGAGUUCGGCAGGGGAGACUGGAAUUCUCGGUGUAGCAGUGAAAUGCGUAGAUAUCGAGAGGAACACCAGUGGCGAAGGCGAGUCUCUAGACAAUUCCUGACGCUGAGGCACGAAAGCUAGGGGAGCAAACAGG
rnacentral:rRNA from 1 species